GACGAACCGUGCGAACGUUGUUCGGAAUCACUGGGCUUAAAGGGCGCGUAGGCGGGUUUCCAAGUCUGUGGUGAAAGCCUCCAGCUUAACUGGAGAAGUGCCGUGGAUACUGGAAAUCUUGAGGAGGGUAGGGGCAUCUGGAACUGCCGGUGGAGCGGUGAAAUGCGUUGAGAUCGGAAGGAACGCCCGUGGCGAAAGCGAGGUCCUGGACGUUUUCUGACGCUGAGACGCGAAAGCCAGGGAGCGAACGGG
rnacentral:rRNA from 1 species